AUAGUGUCUCCUGCAGCUGGUUCGACCAGGGCGACCGGGACACUCCGGAGGCUCUGGUCGUCGCAAGAGGGAACCCGGUGAGAACCCGGGACUGCCCCGCAGCGGUGAACGGGAACGACCGUCGCAUCAGGCACUGCGCCCUUGUCGGGGCGUGGGAAGCCGCGACCAGUAGGAACCGGGAGGCGAGAGCCCACCGAACGCCCGUGAGUCCGAAGACCUGCCAGUGCACGGGCGCCCCG
rnacentral:ncRNA from 2 species